rnacentral:rRNA from 1 species
CAGUAGCCACGGUAAUACAGAGGGUGCGAGCGUUAAUCGGAUUUACUGGGCGUAAAGCGUGCGUAGGCGGCUUUUUAAGUCGGAUGUGAAAUCCCUGAGCUUAACUUAGGAAUUGCAUUCGAUACUGGGAAGCUAGAGUAUGGGAGAGGAUGGUAGAAUUCCAGGUGUAGCGGUGAAAUGCGUAGAGAUCUGGAGGAAUACCGAUGGCGAAGGCAGCCAUCUGGCCUAAUACUGACGCUGAGGUACGAAAGCAUGGAGCAAACAGGAUUAGAUACCCCCGUAGUCCCUGUCUCUUAUACAC